rnacentral:tRNA from 1 species
UUCCCUGUGGCUCAGUUGGUAGAGCAUGGUGUUUGCAACGCCAGCAUGGUGUGGCGAACCCAGGGUUGUGGGUUUGAUUCCCAUGGGGGACC